rnacentral:misc_RNA from 1 species
CGGUCGGAGCAUGUGUGGGUAUUCGAGACGCUAAAUGUAGGCACCGACCGGGGACACACUGGGGGCAUAUUAGUGGGUAAACGAUCGUUAUUGUUGGGUUACGAGUUGGAACGCUAGUCGGUAUACGAGCAUGACGCCCCUGAGUGGGCAUGUCGUUUUGGGCUUGCCCUUGACGACGUGAUUGCGUCAACGGUUGGCCUAGGCCAAUCAAGUCGAAAUGACGAUGUGGCUACACAACGUCAUGGAGGCAUGUCCCUAAACGAUGGUUGACCCUAGCAUGAGGAUCUCAGUACGAUGUGGGUUGGUUGGUGUGCUUUGACGCGUGUUGCUUUCGGCCCAAAUCUUUGUUACUUUCGCAUCGUUCGGUGCAUUUUGGGGGCUGUUUUGGCUUUUGGUUGCUUGCUUGGCUUUUUGCCGGGUGGGUGGCUAAUAGUUGGGCGGCUUUCGGGAAUGUCUACCGUAAAGGUGCAUGAGUGGUGUUUGGUUUGUUACGGGUGGUUGGCUGUCUGCUCGCGCAGCAACGUCCACGCGUGCAUACCUCUUCAGUUACGCGGCAAGGCUUAGAUUGUCUUGAGCAUAUUGUGGGUUUCCUGUGUUGCAUACCUAAUCGAUGGUAACGGGUGGGUUUUAUGAUGUCCCUAUUCGUCAUGCGUCGCUCAUGUGACGCGUUCUGAACAUUGAAGCGGUCUUUAUGAUCCAUUUUGUUGUUGUAUUUGCAACAACGAUGUGGCCUAUGAAGCAUUGCUUGGUCUCUUGUAUACAGAACCUAAUGUGGGCAUGGGUCUUAUAUGAUCUUGAAUUUGCCUYUGUUAAGCGUUCUCGCUUCUCCUAAACGAUUGUCUACCAUGUCUCGGCUUGUUCGUGCAUGGUUGGNUACGUCGA